AUUGAACGCUGGCGGCAUGCCUUACACAUGCAAGUCGAACGGCAGCACGGGAGCAAUCCUGGUGGCGAGUGGCGAACGGGUGAGUAAUAUAUCGGAACGUGCCCGGUCGUGGGGGAUAACGUAGCGAAAGCUACGCUAAUACCGCAUACGAUCUACGGAUGAAAGCGGGGGAGUCGCAAGACCUCGCGCGAUUGGAGCGGCCGAUAUCAGAUUAGGUAGUUGGUGAGGUAAAGGCUCACCAAGCCGACGAUCUGUAGCUGGUCUGAGAGGACGACCAGCCACACUGGGACUGAGACACGGCCCAGACUCCUACGGGAGGCAGCAGUGGGGAAUUUUGGACAAUGGGCGCAAGCCUGAUCCAGCAAUGCCGCGUGCAGGAUGAAGGCCUUCGGGUUGG
rnacentral:rRNA from 1 species